UUCAGUUUAGGGUUUAAAACCCUAAUACUGACUGGCUGGAAAGAGUUUAGUUUAGGGUUUAAAACCCUAAUACUGACUGAAGGAAAGAGUUCAGUUUAGAGUUUUAAGCCCUAAUGCUGACUAAAGGGAAAGUUCAGUUUAGGGUUUAAAACCCUAAUACUGACUGGCUGGAAAGAGUUCAGUUUAGGGUUUAAAACCCUAAUGCUGACUAAAGGGAAAGUUCAGUUUAGGGUUUUAAAACCCUAAUGCUAACUAAAGGAAAGUGUUCAGUUUAGGGUUUAAAACCCUAAUGCUGAAUGAAUGGAAAAAAGUUCAGUUUAGGGUUUAAAACCCUAAUGCUGACUAAAGGAAAGAGUUCAGUUUAGGGUUUAAAACCCUAAUGCUGACUGAAUGGAAAAAGUUCAGUUUAGGGUUUAAAACCCUAAUGCUGACUAAAGGAAAGAGUUCAGUUUAGGGUUUAAAACCCUAAUGCUGACUAAAGGGAAAAGUUCAGUUUAGGGUUUUAAAACCCUAAUGCUAACUAAAGGAAAGUGUUCAGUUUAGGGUUUAAAACCCUAAUGCUGAAUGAAUGGAAAAAACUUCAGUUUAGGGUUUAAAACCCUAAUGCUGACUAAAGGAAAGAAUUUAGUUUAGGGUUUAAAACCCUAAUGCUGACUAAAUGGAAAAAGUUCAGUUUAGGGUUUUAAAACCCUAAUGCUGACUAAAGGAAAGAGUUCAGUUUAGGGUUUAAAACCCUAAUGCUGACUGAAUGGAAAGAGUUUAGUUUAGGGUUUAAAACCCUAAUACUGACUGAAGGAAAGAGUUCAGUUUAGAGUUUUAAGCCCUAAUGCUGACUAAAGGGAAAGUUUAGUUUAGGGUUUAAAACCCUAAUACUGACUGGCUGGAAAGAGUUCAGUUUAGGGUUUAAAAUCCUAAUGCUGACUAAAGGGAAAGUUCAGUUUAGGGUUUAAAACCCUAAUGCUGACUGGCUGGAAAGAGUUCAGUUUAGGGUUUAAAACUCUAAUGCUGACUAAAGGGAAAGUUCAGUUUAGGGUUUAAAACCCUAAUACUGACUGGCUGGAAAGAGUUCAGUUUAGGGUUUAAAACCCUAAUGCUGACUAAAGGGAAAGUUCAGUUUAGGGUUUAAAACCCUAAUGCUGACUGAAUGGAAACAAGUUCAGUUUAGGGUUUAAAACCCUAAUGCUGACUAAAGGGAAAGUUCAGUUUAUGGUUUAAAACCCUAAUACUGACUGGCUGGAAAGAGUUCAAUUUAGGGUUUAAAACCCUAAUGCUGACUGAAUGGAAAAAGUUUAGUUUAGGGUUUAAAACCCUAAUACUGACUGAAGGAAAGAGUUCAGUUUAGGGUUUAAAACCCUAAUGCUGACUAAAGGGAAAGUUCAGUUUAGGGUUUAAAACCCUAAUACUGACUGGCUGGAAAGAGUUCAGUUUAGGGUUUAAAACCCUAAUGCUGACUGAAUGGAAAAAGUUCAGUUUAGGGUUUAAAACCCUAAUGCUGACUGAAUGGAAAAAGUUCAGUUUAGGGUUUUAAAACCCUAAUGCUGACUAAAGGAAAGAGUUCAGUUUAGGGUUUAAAACCCUAAUGCUGACUGAAUGGAAAAAGUUCAGUUUAGGGUUUAAAACCCUAAUGCUGACUAAAGGGAAAGAGUUCAGUUUAGGGUUUAAAACCCUAAUACUGACUGAAUGGGAAAAAUUCAGUUUAGGGUUUAAAACCCUAAUGCUGACUAAAGGAAAGAGUUUAGUUUAGGGUAUAAAACCCUAAUGCUGACUGAAUGGAAAAAGUUACAGUUUAGGAUUUAAAACCUUAAUGCUGACUAAAGGAAAGAGUUCAGUUUAGGGUUUAAAACCCUAAUGCUGACUAAAGGGAAAGUUCAGUUUAAGGUUUAAAACCCUAAUGCUGACUGAAAGGAAAGAGUUCAGUUUAGGGUUUAAAACCCUAAUGCUGACUGAAGGAAAAAGUUCAGUUUAGGGUUUAAAACCCUAAUACUGAUUAAAUGAAAAGGUUCAGUUUAGGGUUUAAAACCCUAAUAUUGAUUAAAUGGAAAAAAGUUCAGUUUAGGGUUUAAAACCCUAAUGCUGACUGAAGGAAAAGUUCAGUUUAGGGUUUAAAACCCUAAUGCUGACUGAAGGAAAGAGUUCAGUUUAGGGUUUAAAACCCUAAUGCUGACUGAAGGAAAGAGUUCAGUUUAGUGUUUAAAACCCUAAUGCUGACUGAAGGAAAAAGUUCAGUUUAGGGUUUAAAACCUUAAUACUGAUUAAAGGAAAAGGUUCAGUUUAGAGUUUAAAACCCUAACGCUGACUGAAGGAAAGAGUUCAGUUUAGGGUUUAAAACCCUAAUGCUGACUGAAUGGAAAAGAGUCCAGUUUAGGGUUUAAAACCCUAAUGCUGACUGAAUGGAAAAGAGUUCAGUUUAGGGUAUAAAACCCUAAUGCUGACUAAAGAAAAAGUUCAGUUUAGGGUUUAAAACCCUAAUGCUGACUAAAGGGAAAUUUCAGUUUAAGGUUUAAAACCCUAAUGCUGACUAAAGGAAAGAGUUCAGUUUAGGGUUUAAAACCCUAAUGCUGACUAAAUCGAAAGUUCAGUUUAGAGUUUAAAACCCUAAUGCUGACUGAAUGGAAAAAGUUCAGUUUAGGGUUUAAAACCCUAAUGCUGACUAAAGGAAAGAGUUCAGUUUAGGGUUUAAAACCCUAAUGCUGACUGAAUGGAAAAGAGUUCAGUUUAGGGUUUAAAACCCUAAUGCUGACUGGAUGGAAAAGAGUUUAGUUUAGGGUUUAAAACCCUAAUGCUGACUCUGACUACAGGAAAAAGUUCAGUUUAGGGUUUAAAACCCUAAUGCUGACUGAAUGGAAAAGAGUCCAGUUUAGGGUUUAAAGCCCUAAUGCUGACUAAAGGAAAAAGUUCAGUUUAGGGUUUAAAACCCUAAUGCUGACUAAAGGAAAGAGUUCAAUUUAGGGUUUAAAACCCUAAUGCUGACUGAAUGGAAAAAGUUCAGUUUUGGGUUUAAAACCCUAAUGCUGACCGAAUGGAAAAGAGUUCAGUUUAGGGUUUAAAACCCUAAUUCUGACUGAAUGGAAAAAGUUCAGUUUAGGGUUUAAAACCUUAAUGCUGACUAAAGGAAAGAGUUCAGUUUAGGGUUUAAAACCCUAAUGCUGACUAAAGGGAAAGUUCAGUUUAAGGUUUAAAACCCUAAUGCUGACUAAUGGAAAGAGUUCAGUUUAGGGUUUAAAACCCUAAUGCUGACUAAAGGGAAAGUUCAGUUUAGGGUUUAAAACCCUAAUACUUACUAGCUGGAAAGAGUUCAGUUUAGGGUUUAAAACCCUAACGCUAACUGAAUGGAAAAAGUUCAGUUUAGGGUUUAAAACCCUAAUGCUGACUACAAGAAAAGUUCAGUUUAGGGUUUAAAACCCUAAUGCUGACUGAAUGAAAAAGUUCAGUUUCGGGUUUAAAACCCUAAUGCUGACUGAAGGGAAAGUUCAGUUUAGGGUUUAAAACCCUAAUGCUGACUAAAGGAAAGUGUUCAAUUUAGGGUUUAAAACCCUAAUGCUGACUGGAUGGAAAAGAGUUCAGUUUAGGGUUUAAAACCCUAAUGCUGACUGGAUGGAAAAGAGUUCAGGUUAGGGUUUAAAACCCUAAUGCUGACUCUGACUACAAGAAAAAGUUAUGUUUAGGGUUUAAAACCCUAAUGCUGACUAAAUGGAAAAGAGUUCAGUUUAGGGUAAAAAACCCUAAUGCUGACUAAAGGAAAAGUUCAGUUUAGGGUUUAAAACCCUAAUGCUGACUAAAGGAAAAGUUCAGUUUAGGGUUUAAAACCCUAAUGCUGACUAAAGGAAAGAGUUCAGUUUAGGGUUUAAAACCCUAAUGCUGACUGAAUGGAAAAAGUUCAGUUUAGGGUUUAAAACCCUAAUGCUGACUAAAGGAAAGAGUUCAGUUUAGGGUUUAAAACCCUAAUGAUGACAGAAUGGAAAAAGUUCAGUUUAGGGUUUAAAACCUUAAUGAAGACUAAAGGAAAGAAU
rnacentral:lncRNA from 1 species